rnacentral:rRNA from 1 species
GAUGAACGCUAGCUACAGGCUUAACACAUGCAAGUCGAGGGGCAGCAUGGUCUUAGCUUGCUAAGGCCGAUGGCGACCGGCGCACGGGUGAGUAACACGUAUCCAACCUGCCGUCUACUCUUGGACAGCCUUCUGAAAGGAAGAUUAAUACAAGAUGGCAUCAUGAGUUCACUUGUUCACAUGAUUAAAGGUAUUCCGGUAGACGAUGGGGAUGCGUUCCAUUAGAUAGUAGGCGGGGUAACGGCCCACCUAGUCUUCGAUGGAUAGGGGUUCUGAGAGGAAGGACCCCCACAUUGGAACUGAGACACGGUCCAAACGCCUACGGGAGGCAGCAGUGAGGAAGAUUGGUCAAUGGGCGAGAGCCUGAACCAGCCAAGUAGCGUGAAGGAUGACUGCCCUAUGGGUUGUAAACUUCUUUUAUAAAGGAAUAAAGUCGGGUAUGUAUACCCGUUUGCAUGUACUUUAUGAAUAAGGAUCGGCUAACUCCGUG